rnacentral:snRNA from 1 species
UCACUCAGGUUUCUCUUCAGAUCGCAUAAAUCUUUCGCCUUUUACUAAAGAUUUCCGUGGAGAGGAACAAUAUGAGUUUCAACCAAUCUUGCUCUGCCGUAAGGUUGGG